AGAAACAGCAAAUGCAACACCUCGUGGUGGGAGAACACCUGUGUAUGUUGGAGGAAAGAGCUGGCUGUUGUAGACCAAAAGUGAAGCUACAUCUGCUCUCUACUGUGAAAUACAUACCAGCAUGAGAGGAUAGAGAACAUCCCGUAUGUCUUUGGGUUUCCAAAGUGAAGCUCUUCUUAUUUCUGUGCAAGUAUUGCUAUGGUAUGAAUGUGUUUCCAAAAAGAGCUUUAUACAACUUCACCAGUGAGAGCCCAAACCUGGAAAGCUAAACAUGGCUGUCCACGGAUGAAUGGAAAAGCACUGACGCUACAUCUACAUCAUGUGAUACCGCAUACGGGAGAGAGGGAACGCACACUCAACGUAAUGUGACAACGCAGAUGAAGUGCAAAGUGACUAUGCUGAGUGUAAAAGCCAGAUGAUAUAUGCGGGAUAAUUCUUCGUUGUAUAUGAUGGAUCAUCAUAAGUUUCAUUAUGGCGAACACUCCUGGAACGAGGCUAUCAGAUUUGAAUCCUUGAUCCUUUCUGUACUAAUUCUAUGAUUUAAA